rnacentral:rRNA from 1 species
AUGGGGGACUUUGAACCCUACUCCCCGCCUCGCCGUGGUGCUGUUUUUGGUCGCAAUAGUCAUCAUUAUGGCCGUCGUGAUCAGGAUGACCGUGACAACCAAGCGAGAGUGAAGCUACAUGUACUAUCAUUCAUGGGAAAAGAGGACCCGAAUGCGUAUAUUGAGUGGGAAGAGAAGUGUGAUCAAAUCUUUUGCAUCCAUGGUUUUUCUGAAGCCAAGAGAGUUGAUCUUGCUGUUAUGGAGUUCUGUGGUUAUGCUCUUACAUGGUGGAAUCAGCUGCAAGACGAUCGGUUGAUGUCAGGCAAUAAUCAUAUCCGCAGCUGGACUUUGAUGAAGGAAGUCAUGAGGCGCCAUUUUGUUCCAUCCUACUAUGAGAGUCAAUUGUACAAGCGGUUGCAGGGGCUCACUCAAGGUUCGCGCACUGUUGAGGAGUACUAUAAAGAGAUGGAGGUGCUGCUAAUUCGGACAAGAACCCGUGAAAGUGAUGAGGCAAAGAUGGCAAGAUUUUUACAUGGGAUAAAUGAUGAAAUAUCAGAUUUUGUGGAGAUGUUUCCUUAUGAUACAUUACAAGAUGUGGUACAUCAAGCUAUAAGAGAUGAGAAGAAGAAUAUGUGUAAUGGUCGUACUCGUGCUUUCCAAGGUCACACCACCAUACGCUCAUGGCAGCGAGCACAACAGCCAUAUGGUUCUCAGUUUCAGGGUGCACCACCUAGACACCCACAUGCCUCGACGGCUUCCUCACCUGCUAUUCACAAUCAAGAUAAGCGGUCAUCAGCUACAGCAGGAGUAUCAUCUGCUCCACCUCUAGAAAAGAGUUCUACACGCAGCAACGACAUUCAAUGCCACAAGUGCAAAGGAAGAGGUCAUAUUUCUUCGGAAUGCCCAAGAAAAAGAACUAUGAUCAUCAAUGAGCGAGAUGAAUGGGAGUCUGAAAGUGACCCUGAAGGUGUCAAUGAUGAAGUGGAAGAGGAGCAAGGUUGGGAAGCAGGAGGAACUAUUUUAUCUCAUGAGGAACUUGAUGGAGAAGCGUUGGUUGUAUGUCGUUCACUUAGUGCCCAGGUUGUGGAGGAGCAAAAGGGGCAGCGGCAUAAUCUUUUCCACACCCGUUGCCUUAUCAACUCAAAGAUAUGUCGAGUUAUUUGUUGA